rnacentral:rRNA from 1 species
UGGGGAAUAUUGGACAAUGGGGGGAACCCUGAUCCAGCCAUGCCGCGUGUGUGAAGAAGGCCUUAUGGUUGUAAAGCACUUUAAGCGAGGAGGAGGGUACUGGUAUUAAUACUACCAGGUACUGGACGUUACUCGCAGAAUAAGCACCGGCUAACUCUGUGCCAGCAGCCGCGGUAAUACAGAGGGUGCAAGCGUUAAUCGGAAUUACUGGGCGUAAAGCGCGCGUAGGUGGUUCGUUAAGUUGAAUGUGAAAGCCCCGGGCUCAACCUGGGAACUGCAUCCAAAACUGGCGAGCUAGAGUAGGGCAGAGGGUGGUGGAAUUUCCUGUGUAGCGGUGAAAUGCGUAGAUAUAGGAAGGAACACCAGUGGCGAAGGCGACCACCUGGGCUCAUACUGACACUGAGGUGCGAAAGUGUGGGGAGCAAACAGG